UUAAAAUUCAUAAACGAUUUAAAUUUUUUUUGAUGCUUCAGUUGCAAUUUAAGUGAGUAACCCACAAUUGGUGACCCCUUACAGGAAGCAGCAACAAAUUCAAAACGGUAUCGACAAAACAAUCGCCGCUGUCUACCAACGACACCAUGAUUACAGGGACGCAAACUAUAACUCCCUGCCAGAUUCUCGUCAAGCUUUCAAGGCAGAUUUAGGAUCAAGGGAUUCAGACGGAGCCAUUGGAAAUUAAGCAGCAGCCGAAGAGAAAAUGCGGACCAAAAGCAUCGAGAUAGAUAAUUAUCCUAACUGAGCCCGCAGAAAGAAUCUGUUUAUGCUCAGGAAUGUUUCACAGUUUGUUCUAUUUCGCAGCAUCAGCAUCAAUUCCCAUUAUCAUCAGCUUUUAUUUGAUUUCUUUAAACACCGAGAUUGUGCUUCUUGGUGUGUUGUACUUGUUUACUUACUUUGUAUCUUUAGUUUAAGCUGAACUUUCUUGGCUUCAAAAAAUUGGAAUCAUUUCAACUAAAAUAAAGGCGAUGUCGAUGUC